rnacentral:rRNA from 1 species
UACGUAGGUGGCAAGCGUUGUCCGGAUUUACUGGGCGUAAAGAGCGCGCAGGCGGUCGUUCAAGUCGCGUGUGAAAGCCCCCGGCUCAACUGGGGAGGGUCACGCGAUACUGAUCGACUGGAAGGCAGGAGAGGGUGUGGAAUUCCCGGUGUAGUGGUGAAAUGCGUAGAUAUCGGGAGGAACACCAGUGGCGAAGGCGACUACCUGGCCUGUUCUUGACGCUGAGGCGCGAAAGCUAGGGGAGCAAACGGG